GACGAACGCUGGCGGCGUGCUUAACACAUGCAAGUCGAACGGUGAACCCGCUUCGGUGGGGGAUCAGUGGCGAACGGGUGAGUAACACGUGGGCAACCUGCCCCCGGCUCUGGGAUAACUCCAAGAAAUUGGGGCUAAUACCGGAUAUGACCGCUGACCGCAUGGUCUGGUGGUGGAAAGAUUUAUCGGCUGGGGAUGGGCCCGCGGCCUAUCAGCUUGUUGGUGGGGUAGUGGCCUACCAAGGCGACGACGGGUAGCCGGCCUGAGAGGGUGACCGGCCACACUGGGACUGAGACACGGCCCAGACUCCUACGGGAGGCAGCAGUGGGGAAUAUUGCGCAAUGGGCGGAAGCCUGACGCAGCGACGCCGCGUGGGGGAUGACGGCCUUCGGGUUGUAAACCUCUUUCAGCAGGGACGAAGCGAAAGUGACGGUACCUGCAGAAGAAGCACCGGCCAACUACGUGCCAGCCGCCGCGGUAACAC
rnacentral:rRNA from 1 species